AGCUUUCUAUAUAUAUAUUUUAUUUUUUAUUUUAUUUUUUGUAAAAUGUUGUAAUUUUGUUUUUAUUUUAGGGAGUGUUUAAAAUUUGGUUUUUGAACUGGAUUAGUACCCAGGUAAACAAAAUUUAUUAAUGCGGGAGUAAAGUUUUUUUUAAACCGAAAAAAUAUUGACUGACCUUGGAUUUUUCUUUGGAAUAUGUGUUGUUUGGAGAGCCCUCCUUGUUUGGUGACUUUAUUGGUGCAUGUAUGAUUGUUUAGUUUUUAUUUUAUUUGUAAUGCUAUUUAUUUUUUAUUAAAAACAGAUAUAUAC
rnacentral:rRNA from 1 species